rnacentral:rRNA from 1 species
AUUGAACGCUGGCAGUAGGCCUAACACAUGCAAGUCGAACGCGAAAGUCCUUCGGGAUGAGUAGAGUGGCGGACGGGUGAGUAACGCGUAGGAAUCUAUCCUGUAGUGGGGGAUAACGUUUCGAAAGGAACGCUAAUACCGCAUACGCCCCAAGGGGGAAAGCGGGGGAUCUUCGGACCUCGUGCUAUAGGAGGAGCCUGCGUCGGAUUAGCUAGUUGGUGAGGUAAAGGCUCACCAAGGCGACGAUCCGUAGCUGGUCUGAGAGGAUGAUCAGCCACACCGGAACUGAGACACGGUCCGGACUCCUACGGGAGGCAGCAGUGGGGAAUAUUGCGCAAUGGGCGAAAGCCUGACGCAGCCAUACCGCGUGUGUGAAGAAGGCCUUCGGGUUGUAAAGCACUUUCAGUGGGGAGGAAAAGCUGGUGGCUACUAUCCAUCGGCCGUGACGCUACCCACAGAAGAAGCACCGGCUAAUUCCGUGCCAGCCGCCGCAGUAAUAC